rnacentral:tRNA from 1 species
GAUGGUAUAGCUCAGAGGUAGAGUGCCUGCUUAGCAUGCACGAGGUCCUGGGUUCAAUCCCCAGUACCUCCA